rnacentral:rRNA from 1 species
UACGAGGGGGGCGAGCGUUAUUCAAAAUGACUGGGCGUAAAGAGCAUGUAGGCGGUUUAUUAAGUUGGUUUUGACAAAAAUCAAAAGCAUUUUAGCCUCGUACUUUUAGUAUGUGGUAAGCGCCCUUUUUUUGGAUGCUUAGUGUUGUGAUAAAUUCCAAAGCUUAACUUUGGUGAAGCACCCAAUAUUAGUAGACUAGAGUAAGUGAGAGGAAAGUGGAAUUCCUGGAGGAGAGAUAAAAUUUGUAGAUAUCAGGAGGAACAUCGAAAGCAAAGGCAACUUUCUAGCACUUGACUGACGUUGAGAUGCGAAAGCGUGGGGAGCAAAAGGG